rnacentral:rRNA from 1 species
GUCUAUGGCCAUGCCACCCUGAACAAGCCCAAUCCUGUCUGAUCUCGGAAGCUAAGCAGGGUCGGGCCUGGUUAGUACUUGGAUGGGAGACCACCUAGGAAAACCAGGUGCUAUAGGCA